rnacentral:rRNA from 1 species
UACGAAGGGGGCUAGCGUUGUUCGGAAUUACUGGGCGUAAAGCGCGCGCAGGCGGUUCUCCAAGUCAGUGGUGAAAGCCCGGAGCUCAACUCCGGAAUUGCCAUUGAAACUGUUGAACUUGAGGACGAGAGAGGUGAGUGGAAUUCCCAGUGUAGAGGUGAAAUUCGUAGAUAGUUGGGAAAGAACACCGGUGGCGAAGGCAGGUCUCUGGGCCACUACUGACGCUGAGAAGCGAAAGCAUGGGGAGCGAACGAGG